rnacentral:tRNA from 1 species
GGACUCAUAGCUCAGUGGUAGAGCGCAGGAUUGCAGUAACUGAGCAGCUAUCCCGAGGUCGCGUGUUCGAUCCACGCUGGGUCCU